rnacentral:piRNA from 1 species
UGACCAGGCUAUAUGAAUUGACUUCU